UACGAAGGGGGCUAGCGUUGCUCGGAAUCACUGGGCGUAAAGCGCACGUAGGCGGAUCUUUAAGUCAGGGGUGAAAUCCUGGAGCUCAACUCCAGAACUGCCUUUGAUACUGGAGAUCUCGAGUCCGGAAGAGGUGAGUGGAACUCCGAGUGUAGAGGUGAAAUUCGUAGAUAUUCGCAAGAACACCAGUGGCGAAGGCGGCUCACUGGCCCGGUACUGACGCUGAGGUGCGAAAGCGUGGGGAGCAAACAGG
rnacentral:rRNA from 1 species